AGCCGGGACACAUUUUCCCGUGGUAGCGGUGUCCUCCUGCCCACGGCCGCCCCCGCUGCAUCGACACAUUGUAAUAUAAAUGAAGCAAGCGGCUCUGAGAUUCCAGCACAAGCUCGAGGACCCUCCGCUGCAGAGCAGUGGCAGAGCCCCUGGAAGGCUCGACUGAAGUAUAGACUCUACAUUUCUGUGUGUCUAUCUUCACCGCCGCGCCUUGCAGGAGGGCCAUUAGAGAGUCAAAUGUUACUGAGUCACUUCAACUUGACCCUUUUUGACGCAGUGAUGGUGUGAGAGGAUUCAAACAGUGGCUGCAUUGUUACUGUUCGCACCUUUCCUCCUUUGGACAGUUUCACGCUUUUCAGAGCGCCUCCACAUCCUUUGGUCCGGCGGCAGUCAAGUGGAAGGGAGAAACUGAAACAGUCCCGGCUAUCAUGUCGCUCUGCCUGUUACUGGCUUGGCAAGUCUUCUAAGAACAGCAGCAUUUUACUACGUGACAGGUUUUAUUUCUUCAGAACUGCGCUGGACGAGGCUUUAUGCGCCGCGCCAAGGGUGCAGAGAAAGGCCCGGAACAGAGCUGAAAGAGAGGCAGCUGAUUGAGGGCUGCACAGAGCCCGGCAUUCAGCACGACGAUGUGCAAAGACAACAACAAUACUACUACUACUACUUCUACUACUACUACUACUACCACUACUAAUAAUAAUAAUAAAAUUAACUUUUACCAGUGAAACGAA